GUUUGAUCCUGGCUCAGGAUGAACGCUAGCGGGAGGCCUAACACAUGCAAGUCGAGGGGUAACGGAGUAGCUUGCUCUAGACGACGACCGGCGCACSGGUGAGUAACGCGUAUGUAAUCUGCCUUGUACAGAGGGAUAGCCCAGAGAAAUUUGGAUUAAUACCUCAUAGUAUUACUGAUCGCAUGAUUUGGUAAUUAAAGCUCCGGCGGUACAAGAUGAACAUGCGUGACAUUAGCUAGUUGGUAAGGUAACGGCUUACCAAGGCUACGAUGUCUAGGGGUUCUGAGAGGAUGAUCCCCCACACUGGUACUGAGACACGGAUCAGACUCCUACGGGAGGCAGCAGUGAGGAAUAUUGGUCAAUGGACGCAAGUCUGAACCAGCCAUCCCGCGUGAAGGAUGACUGCCCUAUGGGUU
rnacentral:rRNA from 1 species